UAUUUGCUGCAGAACAUGAGAAGGUUGCUGAGUAGAUUAUCAGAUUGCUGAUAUAAAGGUGAAUGUUAUGUUGUGGAUGGCCGCGUAUUAUUGUAGUUUAUUGAGAGGUUUUAAUGUCACAUGUUUGUGAGGUGUGAUAGAAGAAGAUUAUAGUAUGUGUCUGUGAUUUUAUUUAUACCUCUAUAUAGUUAAUUUGAUGAGGUAUGUAUACCUAUUUUUUAUUGUUAUUGUGAUUGUACUCAUGAGAUGAUUGAGAGUAAUAAAGAGUUGAAGAAUAUAUCCUUAUUUUUGAA